CCCGUCCCGCCGCCCCCGCCCGCCUACGGGAGGCAGCAGUAGGGAAUAUUGGGCAAUGGAGGCAACUCUGACCCAGCCACGCCGCGUGGAGGAUGAAGGUGCUAUGCAUUGUAAACUUCUUUUGUCAAGGGAGAAAGUGCUUGAUUAAUCAGGAAAGACGGUACUUGGCGAAUAAGCAUCGGCUAACUACCGG
rnacentral:rRNA from 1 species